AACGAACGCUGGCGGCAUGCCUAACACAUGCAAGUCGAACGAGACCUUCGGGUCUAGUGGCGCACGGGUGCGUAACGCGUGGGAAUCUGCCCUUGGGUUCGGAAUAACUCAGAGAAAUUUGAGCUAAUACCGGAUGAUGACGUAAGUCCAAAGAUUUAUCGCCCAAGGAUGAGCCCGCGUAGGAUUAGCUAGUUGGUGAGGUAAAGGCUCACCAAGGCGACGAUCCUUAGCUGGUCUGAGAGGAUGAUCAGCCACACUGGGACUGAGACACGGCCCAGACUCCUACGGGAGGCAGCAGUGGGGAAUAUUGGACAAUGGGCGAAAGCCUGAUCCAGCAAUGCCGCGUGAGUGAUGAAGGCCUUAGGGUUGUAAAGCUCUUUUACCCGGGAUGAUAAUGACAGUACCGGGAGAAUAAGCUCCGGCUAACUCCGUGCCAGCCGCCGCGGUAA
rnacentral:rRNA from 1 species